rnacentral:rRNA from 1 species
UACGGGGGGAGCAAGCGUUGUUCGGAUUUACUGGGCGUAAAGCGCGCGUAGGCGGCUCUUCAAGUCGAGUGUGAAAGCUCCAGGCUUAACCUGGGAAUUGCGCUUGAUACUGUUGAGCUAGAGUGUGGAAGGGGCUACUGGAAUUCCUGGUGUAGCGGUGAAAUGCGCAGAUAUCAGGAGGAACACCGAUGGCGAAGGCAGGUCUCUGGGCCACUACUGACGCUGAGAAGCGAAAGCAUGGGGAGCGAACAGG